AAUGCCGCCCUGUCCCGUAGGGGGAGUCUCUGAUUGGCUGACCAUUGCUUACAGCUGAAUAAAAGAAAUUUUACAGAGCAAUUCUGACAGUCCUCCAGAUGUUGAAGGAAGAUUAAGCUGUGUUUCUGGAUAAUACUCCGUCCUGAUUACUAAGCAUUUCAUUCCGGAAGUGUACAAUGGUUAAAGGUCGAAAAAUAAUAAAUCCUGCUUUGCUGCUUUUGGCGAUGUGUUGGGCAGUAAAUAAAUUAGCUCUAGCGCUUGUAAUCCCAGCUAAGAACUGUGCUGAGCUUUACAAGUGCGGCCAAACCAUCAGUGGUGUUUAUACAAUCGACCCUGAUGGU